GGAAGACCUGCCAGUGAGACAAGGAGGCGGGAUCUUCCAGGUGCCUUUCUGCAAGUUCACUAUGGCAGUGCAGACUUGAAUGGCUCUCUGUGUCCUGCUCUGAACUCAGGUGUUGGGUGCUGUAAGGGGACCUCAGCAAAGUUCUGAAGUUGAGACACAGGGUCACUGCCCACAAUUCAGAGGAGCAGGGUGUGUGGACCACCUGGGGAUCUCCAUUCCCACACACAGCAUCCUCUCCCACUGAGGCCAGACAUGGCAGUCCAUUAAGGGAACAGAUUCCAAAGAUAGGCAGCAGCUUUAUGGCCAGUCAGUGCUACAGUUAUUGGAGGACCCUCAUGAAAACUGAGCUGCACAUCUGCUACCUACAUGUCAGGGGCCUUAGUCCAGCCUGUGUAUCCUAUUUGGAUGCAGUGACUUAUGAUGCUGUGCAUGUGAACUUUCCUAGGGAAGAGUAGAAUUUGCUGGAUCCUUCCUAGAAGAGUCUCUACAAAGAUGUGAUGCAGGAAACCUACUUGGACCUCACUGUUAUAGGCCACACUUGGGAAGACUAUCAUAUUGAAGGACAUUGUCAAAGUUUGAGAAGACAUGAAAGGUAAUCUUCAUGUGCACUCUGAUACGCAUAUGGCUCUGAGGAAAUUUUAAUAUGUUCUGGAAGCUCUAAAGAAAAGCAAGAGUGCCGGGCAGUAGUGGCGGACACCUUUAAUCCCAGCACUUGGGAGGAAGAAGCAACACAGGUAACCUAGCAACGUUUUACAUGACAAAGCCUUGCCUGCCUUCCUGCUCUCAGAUUAGCCUGGGGAUCACACCCACCCCACACCCAC
rnacentral:lncRNA from 1 species